rnacentral:rRNA from 1 species
AGUGAACGCUGGCGGUAGGCCUAACACAUGCAAGUCGAACGGCAGCACAGAGGAGCUUGCUCCUUGGGUGGCGAGUGGCGGACGGGUGAGGAAUACAUCGGAAUCUACUCUGUCGUGGGGGAUAACGGAGGGAAACUUACGCUAAUACCGCAUACGACCUACGGGUGAAAGCAGGGGAUCUUCGGACCUUGCGCGAUUGAAUGCGCCGAUGUCGGAUUAGCUAGUUGGCGGGGUAAAGGCCCACCAAGGCGACGAUCCGUAGCUGGUCUGAGAGGAUGAUCAGCCACACUGGAACUGAGACACGGUCCAGACUCCUACGGGAGGCAGCAGUGGGGAAUAUUGGACAAUGGGCGCAAGCCUGAUCCAGCCAUACCGCGUGGGUGAAGAAGGCCUUCGGGUUGUAAAGCCCUUUUGUUGGGAAAGAAAUCCAUCUGGUUAAUACCCGGGUGGGAUGACGGUACCCAAAGAAUAAGCACCGGCUAACUUCGUGCCAGCAGCCGCAGUAA